AUUGAACGCUGGCGGCAGGCUUAACACAUGCAAGUCGAGCGAGCGGCGGACGGGUGAGUAAUGUCUGGGAAACUGCCUGAUGGAGGGGGAUAACUACUGGAAACGGUAGCUAAUACCGCAUACCAUCAGAUGUGCCCAGAUGGGAUUAGCUAGUAGGUGGGGUAAUGGCUCACCUAGGCGACGAUCCCUAGCUGGUCUGAGAGGAUGACCAGCCAAACUGGGACUGAGACACGGCCCAGACUCCUACGGUAGGCAGCAGUGGGGAAUAUUGUACAAUGGGCGCAAGCCUGAUGCAGCCAUCCCGCGUGUAUGAAGAAGGCCUUCGGGUUGUAAAGCACUUUCAGCGAGGAGGCGUUACUCGCAGAAGAAGCACCGGCUAACUCCGUGCCAGCAGCCGCGGUAAUUC
rnacentral:rRNA from 1 species